AUUGAACGCUGGCGGCAUGCCUUACACAUGCAAGUCGAACGGUAACGGGCCUUCGGGUGCCGACGAGUGGCGAACGGGUGAGUAAUACAUCGGAACGUGCCCGACCGGGGGGGAGAACGAGGCGAAAGCUUUGCUAAGACCGCAUACGAUCUACGGAUGAAGCAGGGGACCGCAAGGCCUUGCGCGGACGGGGCGGCCGAUGGGAGAUUAGGGAGUUGGUGGGGUAAAAGCUUACCAAGCCGACGAUCUGUAGCUGGUCUGAGAGGAUGAUCAGCCACACUGGGACUGAGACACGGCCCAGACUCCUACGGGAGGCAGCAGUGGGGAAUUUUGGACAAUGGGCGCAAGCCUGAUCCAGCCAUGCCGCGUGCAGGAUGAAGGCCUUCGGGUUGUAAACUGCUUUUGUACGGAACGAAAAGCCUUCUUUUAAUACAGGAGGGUCAUGACGGUACCGUAAGAAUAAGCACCGGCUAACUACGUG
rnacentral:rRNA from 1 species